CCCUUAACUAUUAAAAGUUUCGUUUUGGUUUCUUAACUUAUUUUUUGAUUUCGUUUUGGUCCCUUAACUUAUUUUUUGGUUUCAUUUUGGUCCCUUAACUCUAAUACAUUCAUCCUAACAUAAAGAACCAAAGUGGUUGACGGAGGAAGAGUUAAGGGACCAAAAUAAAACCAAAAAGUAAGUUAAAAGACCAAAACGAAACUUUUAAUAGUUAAGAGA
rnacentral:pre_miRNA from 1 species